GGAGUUAGCCGGUGCUUCUUCUGUGAGUGAUGUCCUUCCUGCCGGCUAUUAACCCGCAGGCCUUCUUCCUCACUGAAAGUGCUUUACAACCCGAAGGCCUUCUUCACACACGCGGCAUGGCUGGAUCAGGGUUGCCCCCAUUGUCCAAUAUUCCCCACUGCUGCCUCCCGUAGGAGUCUGGGCCGUGUCUCAGUCCCAGUGUGGCUGAUCAUCCUCUCAGACCAGCUACGGAUCGUCGCCUUGGUGAGCCGUUACCUCACCAACCAGCUAAUCCGACAUAGGCUCAUCCGAUAGCGCGAGGCCCGAAGGUCCCCCGCUUUCCCCCGUAGGGCGUAUGCGGUAUUAGCCUGGGUUUCCCCAGGUUAUCCCCCACUACCGGGCAGAUUCCUAUGCAUUACUCACCCGUCCGCCGCUCGCCACCAGGGAGCAAGCUCCCCGUGCUGCCGCUCGACUUGCAUGUGUAGCUCGCCGCCACGCGUCAUCUGAACCAACGAUACAACUUACUCGA
rnacentral:rRNA from 1 species